rnacentral:rRNA from 1 species
CAGCACGGGAGCAAUCCUGGUGGCGAGUGGCGCACGGGUGCGUAACGCGUAUGCAAUCUACCUAUAACUGGGGAAUAGCCUUCCGAAAGGAAGAUUAAUACCGCAUAAUAUCACGAAGCGGCAUCGUUUUGUGAUCAAAUCUCCGGAGGUUAUAGAUGAGCAUGCGUGACAUUAGCUAGUUGGUGAGGUAACGGCUCACCAAGGCGACGAUGUCUAGGGGGUCUGAGAGGAUGAUCCCCCACACUGGUACUGAGACACGGACCAGACUCCUACGGGAGGCAGCAGUAAGGAAUAUUGGACAAUGGGCGCAAGCCUGAUCCAGCCAUGCCGCGUGCAGGAUGAAGGUGCUCUGCAUUGUAAACUGCUUUUGUUUGGGAAUAAACUCCUGUACGUGUACAGGACUGAAUGUACCAAAAGAAUAAGGGACGGCUAACUUCGUGCCAGCAGCCGCGGUAAU